UACAAGCAGGGAAGAACAUUCUAAGAAUGUUUCCAAAAUUCGUGGGAAUUAUCUUGAUGAUUAUCUGCUUGACUCAAUAUUCAUCAGAAUUCUAUAUAACAAAAAAUAACUUGGUUGCGUUAAAAAGUUCGAGUGAUUAUAAUUCUUUCAAGAUGCGUCCGAGACAUUUUAUAGAUUCUCCUUGUUUAGCUGGAUACUGUCGGAACUGGGAUAAGACUUGCGUUAAGUGCAACAAGAUUUCAUCCUUACCUCAAGGAAAAGUGUGUCCAAAAAGGUACUGUUUGGAUUCAGAUAAAAAAUGUUCUUUAUGCACGAAAAUAUAAAUUUGAUAUUUGAAAUAGAGAGUUUUUCCUCGUUUUAUUACUGUAAAUGAGAAUAUUACACAAUGUUUAUAUAUUAUAUUAAUAAAAGGUUUAAAUGUUUAAUAA